GAUUUGGGCUGGAGAGCGCUCCCCGCCGGGAACGAGUUCUGUCCAUAACGGCGACACCUUUUCGCUCGUCCACACCCCUGAAAAGGCAGAGGUUGUGGUUUAAAACUCCAGUGGGAGCGCAGAGGUUUGGGUUUGGGUCCUCUCGGGACGUGCGGACUCGCCAGGGCAGCUGAGAGUCUGGAAGAUGACUCAGAAAAGUCGGUCAGCAAAAUUCGAGUGUUGGACUGCAGAGCCUCCAGUCACCUUCGUUGUGAGUUCAACCAGAAAAGCACCGGAUUUUCUGUAUUAUUGCACUGUCAUUUUUCAGCUGGAGACCUGACCCAGGGGCUGCUCCCUCACAGCACAGCCCAGCCCAGUAUCGUUUCAUCCUUUGCAGCUCACAGACCUUGCAUGGAAAGUCUCACCAAUAUUUACCCAUCCUGUCAAGGUUGCAUGGCCAAGCCCUAGAACACGUUCUUCAAUGCUAUGGAAAAAAUUAUGACACAAAACGAGUAAUGUAUUUUAAAAAAAAUACAAAGCCACAUUGUCUGGAACAUGAAAAAAAACUUAGCUGAGGUGAGGAAUGAGGGAAUACAUUGAACUGGAAAAUCCUGUAGUUCACAAGGGCUGGGCUGGCCAACUUAAUAAUUGCUUUUUUCCUUCCAUCUCUAAUGAGCACUGGAGCAUUCACAGACGUAGCUAUUAACAAUACCUCAAAACAGUGUCUUUAACUCUGUGAAGCAGAGAUGUUAAAAUAAAGAGUUUGGAUGUCUGUCUGCA